rnacentral:rRNA from 1 species
UGCCGCGUGAGUGAUGAAGGCCUUCGGGUUGUAAAGCUCUGUCGUGGGGGAAGAAGACCUGACGGUACCCCACAAGAAAGCACCGGCUAACUCCGUGCCAGCAGCCGCGGUAAUACGGAGGGUGCAAGCGUUGCUCGGAUUUACUGGGCGUAAAGCGCACGCAGGCGGUCCGCAAGGUCGGGUGUGAAAGCCCGGGGCUCAACCCCGGAACUGCACUCGAAACCGUCGGACUUGAGGUCGAGAGAGGAGGGUAGAAUUCCUGGUGUAGAGGUGAAAUUCGUUGAUAUCAGGAGGAAUACCGGUGGCGAAGGCGGCCCUCUGGCUCGAUUCUGACGCUCAUGUGCGAAAGCGUGGGGAGCAAACAGGAUUAGAUACCCUGGUAGUCCACGCCCUAAACGAUGUCAACUGGUUGUUGGGAAUUUACUUUCUCAGUAACGAAGCUAACGCGUGAAGUUGACCGCCUGGGGAGUACGGCCGCAAGGUUG